rnacentral:misc_RNA from 1 species
AACCAUAGAAACCUGCGGAGUACCUGCGGAGGGAUCAUUACAGAGUUGCAAAACUCCCUAAACCAUUGUGAACGUUACCUAAACCGUUGCUUCGGCGGGCGGCCCGGGUCCUUCCCGGCGCCCCUCGGCCCUCGCGGGCGCCCGCCGGAGGUAAACCAAACUAUUGCAUUGUAUGGCCUCUCUGAGCCUUCUGUACUGAAUAAGUCAAAACUUUUAACAAUGGAUCUCAGAUCGGAAGAG